rnacentral:tRNA from 1 species
UAGCUCAACCGGUAAAGCAUCUGCCUGCAAUGCAGGAGAACCAGGUUCAAUCCCUGG